UUAGAUACCCCACUAUGCCAGGCCAUAAACUUCGGACGAGCCCCGCCAGAGCACUACGAGCCACAGCUUAAAACUCAAAGGACUUGGCGGUGCCCUAUACCCACCUAGAGGAGCCUGUUCUAUAAUUGAUAAUCCCCAAUAUACCUCACCGCCCCUUGCUAAUACAGCCUAUAUACCACCGUCACAAGCCCACCCCAUCAAAGGAAUAAUAGUAGGCUAAACAAUUAAAAAUAAAAAAGUCAGGUCAAGGUGUAGCACACGAGUCGGAAAGAAAUGGGCUACAUUUUCUUCAAAGAAAAUACGGAAUGUUUUAUGAAAUAAAACAUGAAGGAGGAUUUAGCAGUAAAAAGGGAAUAGAGAGCCCUUUUAAAAUUGGCAAUAGGACGAGCACACACCGCCCGUCACCCUCUUUAAACACAAUAUAAAAUAAAUAAAAAAAUUAAACAUUUAGAAGAGGAAAGUCGUAACAUGG
rnacentral:rRNA from 1 species